rnacentral:misc_RNA from 1 species
GAUGAAGAACGUAGCGAAAUGCGAUAAGUAGUGUGAAUUGCAGAAUUCAGUGAAUCAUCGAAUCUUUGAACGCACAUUGCGCCCCUUGGUAUUCCAUGGGGCAUGCCUGUUCGAGCGUCAUUUGUACCUUCAAGCUUUGCUUGGUGUUGGGUGUUUGUCCAUUCUCUUGCAGAGGGACUCGCCUUAAAGUAAUUGGCAGCCAGUGUUUUGGUUUUGAAGCGCAGCACAAGUCGCGAUUCAACGCUAUACGCCAGCUUCCACAAGCCUUUUUCACUUUUGACCUCGGAUCAGGUAGGGAUACCCGCUGAACUUAAGCAUAUCAAUAAGCGGAUGA